rnacentral:lncRNA from 1 species
AUUCCCAGCUUCCAGAAAUAAAUUGGAUGAAACUUCCUUUCACCCUCCACAAGAUAAAUUGAGUUUCCUUGUGUGAAAGCAAAGCAACUAGAAACACAAUUUUUCUGUCUUGGGAAGAUCUGUUGAGUUAUAGCAUCAUUGUACACAAGGCUUUUACUGAUAAGGAAGUGAGGUGGUGGGAGACAAGAGCUCUUAAGGAGAGAGAGGCAUAUUUAGAGGGAGAGGGGUAGCUAUAUUCAAAAAACUUAUAGUUUGUGAUCUUUCUGAGAAAAGAGAACAGAGCAUGUUGGAAUAGAACAUGUUCUGGAAUAAAUGAACAGAUUUGUGUGAGGUUCCAGCUAAGCCACUGAAAGUGGACAUUAAACUGGUAUGACAAAUAUGAGACAGAACAUGGAAUUUGAUCUUGCAUCUUCUGAUUCUAAUGCGUUGAUUCAGUCCUACCCAGCACCACCUUUCACAGAGUCUCUUUUGUCAUCAACAAAACUUGUUUUCUGGCUGGGUUCAAAGGCAGCCUGUGGCUCUGAGGCCUAGAGUAAAGGAUUUGGGAUCAGUCUGAGGACACCACUUCAGCAUCUGCAUCCAUUAAUCCUUAUGAACUCCUCAACAUGGGUUCAUUCCUUCUAU